rnacentral:rRNA from 1 species
AUUGAACGCUGGCGGCAGGCCUAACACAUGCAAGUCGAGCGGAUGAAGGGAGCUUGCUCCUGGAUUCAGCGGCGGACGGGUGAGUAAUGCCUAGGAAUCUGCCUGGUAGUGGGGGAUAACGUCCGGAAACGGGCGCUAAUACCGCAUACGUCCUGAGGGAGAAAGUGGGGGAUCUUCGGACCUCACGCUAUCAGAUGAGCCUAGGUCGGAUUAGCUAGUUGGUGGGGUAAAGGCCUACCAAGGCGACGAUCCGUAACUGGCCUGAGAGGAUGAUCAGUCACACUGGAACUGAGGCACGGUCCAGACUCCUACGGGAGGCAGCAGUGGGGAAUAUUGGACAAUGGGCGAAAGCCUGAUCCAGCCAUGCCGCGUGUGUGAAGAAGGUCUUCGGAUUGUAAAGCACUUUAAGUUGGGAGGAAGGGCAGUAAGUUAAUACCUUGCUGUUUCGACGUUACCAACAGAAUAAGCACCGGCUAACUUCGUG